GUGUCAGCCGCCGCGGUAAGACAGAGGGUGCAAACGUUGUUCGGAAUUACUGGGCGUAAAGCGCGUGUAGGCGGUCUCGCAAGUCGGAUGUGAAAGCCCUUGGCUCAACUGAGGAAGUGCAUUCGAAACUGCGAGACUUGAGUCCCGGAGAGGAUGGUGGAAUUCUCGGUGUAGAGGUGAAAUUCGUAGAUAUCGAGAGGAACACCGGUGGCGAAGGCGGCCAUCUGGACGGUGACUGACGCUGAGACGCGAAAGCAUGGGGAGCAAACAGGAUUAGAAACCCCCGUAGUCC
rnacentral:rRNA from 1 species